rnacentral:rRNA from 1 species
CCGGCGACCGGCGCACGGGUGAGUAACACGUAUGCGACCUGCCCCCCGCAGGGGGAUAACCGGGAGAAAUCCCGACUAAUACCGCGUAACGCCGCGGACCUGCAUGGGUCUGCGGCCAAAGGAAGCGAUUCCGGCGGGGGAUGGGCAUGCGGUGCAUUAGCUAGUCGGCGGGGUAACGGCCCACCGAGGCGACGAUGCGUAGGGGUUCUGAGAGGAAGGUCCCCCACACUGGUACUGAGACACGGACCAGACUCCUACGGGAGGCAGCAG